UGCAAAGAUGACCUUCAUCUAUCACCCCAGGCUGAUGGCU
rfam:Cathartes aura contig201714, whole genome shotgun sequence.